rnacentral:rRNA from 1 species
UCGUCAUCGUAGGGUUAGUCGGGUCCUAAGACAAGUCCGAAAGGGGUAGUCGAUGGAAAAUAGGUUAAUAUUCCUAUACCAACCAUUGUGUGCGAUGGGGGGACGCAUAGGGUUAAGAGCGUCAGCUGAUGGAAUAGCUGGUCGAAAGGUGUAAGUUGGGGGAUAGGCAAAUCCGCCCCUGUAUCACAAACCUGACAGGCUCUUUGCGACCUUCGGGUCAAAGAGAGUGCUUCUGAUACCGUCGUGCCAAGAAAAGCCUCUAAGUUUAGCAAUGGUUGCCCGUACCACAAACCGACACAGGUAGAUGAGAUGAGUAUUCUAAGGCGCGUGAAAGAACUCUGGUUAAGGAACUCUGCAAACUAGCACCGUAAGUUCGCGAUAAGGUGUGCCUAAGCAAUUAGGUCUCAGCAAAGAGUCCCUCCCGACUGUUUAC